AAUAACUUUAUUUUUUAGGUUUUAUAUAAUGUUUUAAUUUUUCGUCUUAUUUAAAAUUUUUUAUGAUUAAUAUUUUUAUUGUUACUAGAUGAUAAAAUAUGAAUAGUACUUUAUGUGUAACUAAUAUUUUUAAAUUUUUAUACAAAAUUUUCAAAUAAGACGAAUGGUUAAACGUUGGACACGAAAAACGAAAAGUGAAGUUAUU
rnacentral:pre_miRNA from 1 species